rnacentral:lncRNA from 1 species
UAGAAAUCAGUGGUCAAAUUAUAAAAGUAAUUAGAUGAUGACUUCAAUUAAAUCACCCAUCUUUUUUGUCUUCAAUGAAAGUGUUGUAUUUAAUAAUCACAAUGAUGUAUAGCCAUUUUUUUGGCAUCUUAGAUCCUCAAUUUCCUCCUGCUACUACAAAGUUGUCUAGUUUAGUAACACUAUAAAAUAUAUAAUAUGUGUUUACCCUACAUUUGGCAAUUCAAUAAUAUUAACUUGUAGUCAAUGUUUCCUUCUCUUACGUGUAUUCUAUGAAACUUGAUCGGAUAGGAUUGAUGAGAAAAACAAAUCAAAUUAUUUUCCCUACCCCACCCACAUACUUUGAAUGAUUUGAUUGAAGAUCAUCAAUUUUGUGUGGUCUAAACUAAACCAUUUUUUUUGAUGUUAUUUUAGAAUAGAUAUUCAUUUUCAUACAUCAUAAAAAAAAUAUGAAGUUCAUAUUAAUCCUUGAAAAAGAAACUAUUUCAACUUCACCUAAGGUUUCUUUUAGUGGUCUUCAAUUUAUUUUUUAUGAUAUUUAAUUUCCUUUCUAUAUUUUACUAUUUGUUAUAAAACUAAAUAAAAUAAAUUUGAUUUGUAAUUAAAAAAA